ACAUUGGUGGUUCAGUGGUAGAAUUCUCAUCUUCCAUGCACGAGACCUGGGUUCGGUUCCCGGCCAAUGCG
rnacentral:tRNA from 1 species